rnacentral:rRNA from 1 species
GUGUCAGCAGCCGCGGUAAUACGGAGGGCGCAAGCGUUGUUCGGAAUUACUGGGCGUAAAGCGCGUGUAGGUGGCUCGGAAAGUCGGGUGUGAAAUCCCGGAGCUCAACUCCGGAACUGCAUCCGAUACUGCCGAGCUCGAGUCUCGGAGAGGACGGCGGAAUUUCCGGUGUAGAGGUGAAAUUCGUAGAUAUCGGAAGGAACACCAGUGGCGAAGGCGGCCGUCUGGACGAUGACUGACACUGAGACGCGAAAGCGUGGGGAGCAAACAGGAUUAGAUACCCUGGUAGUCCACGCCAUAAACGUUGGGUGCUAGACGUCGGGGGUAUUGACCCCCUCGGUGUCGAAGCUAACGCAUUAAGCACCCCGCCUGGGGAGUACGGCCGCAAGGCUAAA